rnacentral:rRNA from 1 species
AUUGAACGCUGGAGGCAGGCCUAACACAUGCAAGUCGCGCGGAUGAUGGUAGCUUGCUACCUGAUUCAGCGGCGGACGGGUGAGUAAUGCCUAGGACUUUGCCUGGUCGUGGGGGACAACGCUUGGAAAGGAACGCUAAUACCGCAUACGUCCUACGGGAGACAGUGGGGGAGCUUCGGACCUCACGCUAUCAGAUGUGGCUAGGUACGAUUAGCUAGUUGGUAAGGUAAAGGCUCACCAAGGCGACGAUCGUUAACUGGUAUGAGAGGGUGACCAGUCACACGGGAACUGAGACACGGUCCAGACUCCUACGGGAGGCAGCAGUGGGGAAUAUUGGACAAUGGGCGAAAGCCUGAUCCAGCCAUGCCGCGUGUGUGAAGAAGGUCUUCGGAUUGUAAAGCACUUUAAGUUGGGAGGAAGGGCAGUAAGUUAAUACCUUGCUGUUUUGACGUUACCAACAGAAUAAGCACCGGCUAACUUCGUGCCAGCCGCCGCCGUAACAC